rnacentral:rRNA from 1 species
UACGAAGGGGGCUAGCGUUGCUCGGAAUCACUGGGCGUAAAGCGCACGUAGGCGGACUCUUAAGUCGGUGGUGAAAUCCUGGAGCUCAACUCCAGAACUGCCUUCGAUACUGGGAGUCUCGAGUCCGGGAGAGGUGAGUGGAACUGCGAGUGUAGAGGUGAAAUUCGUAGAUAUUCGCAAGAACACCAGUGGCGAAGGCGGCUCACUGGCCCGGUACUGACGCUGAGGUGGCGAAAGCGUGGGGAGCAACAGGG